CUGAUGAUCUGGCUUCCCUUAAUCCUUUCCUGUUUCUCCUACUAAAUAAUUCCUGUGAAAUGUGUUUUUGAAAGUUCCAAAAGGUGACAGGACUUAUCUACUAAACUUCUGAACAGGAAAGAACAGAAGUUUGAAAACUUCUAGAACAUACUAAGCAGUCCACUGAUAUGCCCUUUGUCUUCUACCUCUCUCCAACAUGGAGUGGAAGUGAUCAGCUGAGCAGUAGGAAUGUGAUUCUUCUCCAGCAUUCAGCACUGAUGACUUUUAUCUACUGCAGCUGUAAGAAAACUGAUUUCAGUAUGCUCAUAGAAGAGGCUGAAGUUUCUGCAAAGAAUUACAUUUGAUAACUUAUCUUUUUUUUUUUUUUUAAUUUCUCUGUAUUCAGCUCUCACAUUUUCUGUUUCUCUUGAGGCUCUGAUUCAUAUAAGUUCUUCCAUGUCCUGUCAGAAUCAGUUUAUUGCAUUUCAGAUGUGUAUUCAGCUUGAAAACUACAAUAUACAUGUGUUUAUUGUAAAGAUAGAAAUAAAUGUUUAAGGCUCGUGUUGUGGUCAGUUGAGUAAAGAUAGCUGUGUGCUGAAUACUUAAAAUAUUAAUAUUUCAGUCUUAUGUAAUAUCUGGAAAUGUGUGUAUAUUCCUUGGUAUACUCAGUGCCAGCAUCUUCACUUCCUUUAAAAACAAAUUAAAAAUAUAACUUUUAAACACCUGAGUAUAUUUAAAACAAAGAUCUUUGGGCCUUUAAAAAUUUUAAUAAUGCAACAAAAAUCUAAACAUGUAAAUAACUUUUGUAAAAAUGUAUGGCAAACCUUCAGGUUUUGCUUUGUGUAAAAAUUAAACACUUGGUUCUUGUAGUGGAGGAAGUAGCCCACAAUGUGAGGAUGACCUCUUAUGAGUGCUGGUGGUGUCCUUUGAGAAAUUGCUUUGGGUUGCUCUUAUUUUAUAACAGGCAACUGAACUUUUGUGAUAGACGACUCUUGUGCUUUUGUCUCAGUUUUAGGAUGUAACUUCUCACCAAAGCCAAAAGAAAAGUCAAGCAGCUCAGGGUUUUAAGGUUACUUGUGUGUUGUCCAGGAUAACUGUUUCUUGCAGUUGUGUUUGAGUCAAAGGCAUAACCACACCAGAUCGCCCCUGCAUGGUCAAUACAGUCCCUGAAAUUAGAACUCAAGUACAGGUCAGGUUCCUGCUGAGCACAUGAGAGUCCACACCUGAAGAUCUGUGUUUAACUAGCAGCAAAGAGAGAAAAAAAGCAAACAUGAGUAGCAUGGAUGAUUAGGUAAUUCAGGGUUGAGUUCAGCUUAAAGCUUGAGCUGACUUGACAGAGUGAUUGUGAUGAUGUCCAUCACUAUUGGGUAUUUCAUUCUGUAUGUAAUAGACUCUGAAAAUUAAUAUUUUAUCAAUGGUAAAAUGUGCAUGUCUCAUAAUAAGUUUCCUCCCACUAAUAAAAGAAAAAACAAAAACAAAAAACCACCAAACAGAAAAACAGGAGAGGGGCAUAUGUUACCUCAUAAAAAAACAGGCUUGAAAAAUUUCUUGGCAUCUGGAAUCUUACAUUUGAUUAAAUACAUAUUAUAAAGAAUCUACUUCUAUGGUAAAUGAAUGAAAUAUUUCUGAAUUUCCUAAUUUUCUGUGGAAAAAUAAUCAAGUAUUUGUGGCUGGAAUACUCACUACUGCAUCAGUAACGCAAAGCUUUACUAUUUGAAGUAUGAUACAUUCCUCUUUUUUCUUGAGUGUCAUUCAUGAUCAUAUCUUACGAAUCUAGACAUUAUCAAAAAGAUUUUGUACAUUAUAAACCAUAUAGAAUAGAUUAAUUUACCUUUUUAUACGUGUCCUGGUUUUGCUAAAAACAAGUUUCUCUUUUAGUGAAUUUGCCUGUCAGCUAAAGCCUUCAUAUUAACUGCAUUUUCCUGGAGAACCAGACACAUGUUUUGGUAAACCUAGCAAUGGAAUGCAAACUUAUUGAUAAGCACAGAUGGACAUCUCGUGAGAGGGGCGACGAGAAACAAGAGACCAAGAAACUGACCAACUGUGUAUAACAUUCCAUUCACGUGAAUACUUCAUAUAAAAGUGGGAGAUCACAAGGAUCUCGUCCCUUUAUGCCCUUUUUGCCCUUUUCCCUUCUGCUUAUGGCCGACAUUAGAAGAGGACCUUGCUAGUCGUCCCUGCGAACUGAGGCCUAGUGGGAGACUGAAUCCAGCUCCGAUUGGCUGCAGAGUCUAAUCUAGGACUUUGGUUGCCGGUUCUGCAGUUGCUGAGACUUUCAAGAUUGGUUUUGUAUAUUUUGUAUUAUUUUCUCUAUUCUUAUUAGUAGCAUUAGUAAAACAUCUUUAAUUUUUUCCAACUCUCUACACUCUGUCCUUCUUUUCCUCCCAAUCG